GUGCUGCUUUAUUUAGUUAAGCAUCUCUCUCUCCCAGGAAAAUUUUCAGUGAGAAAAGUUUUCUAAAAAUAUCAAGAGAAAAGACUUCAGGAAGUGCACUGCCAACAGUCAUUAUAGAAGGAGACUCUUCUUCCAAAAAAUGACAUUUCUCCUCCUACUACAAUUUCUCUCUAGCUUCCAGCAUGGCAGGAAGCCUCCAAGUCAAGGCCUGCAGGGUUUCCCAUAACCCACUGGUUGAGGAAGAGAAUGGAGCCUUGAUGAGAAACAAAUCAGAAUGUGAUGCUGGAACUAGGCAGAAGUGAACGUUACUACAUCACAUUCCCCAGCCGCGGUGGUAGAGAGCAAUCCUGGCCCACCGAGAAUUCGGGACCGACAGCACUGCUGAAGGAGAGGCAGACGGUGGGGAGAUCUGCUGAGGAAGAGUACGAUAGUCUCCCGGCCUGGGAAGGGUAACUGAAGCACAGAGACAUUACAUAGCAGGCCCAAGGUCACUCAACUGGCAUUUAAUGCUCUCUUCCCAGAUGUCAAGCCUACUACUGUGGGGUGAGGAUACUAAUAAGAAAAGACAUCCCGGAGAUCACGGAGAAUAAAAGAGCCUAAUAAAUAAGCAAAGAAACUCAACCAAUGUAUUAUAACUCUAAAUUGCCAACUGAGUUAUACUUGACCCAGCUUUUAACCUGCUUACUUUUCAGGAUUAUAAAAACAGUAAACCAUUGAAAUAUUUUGAUAAGAAGUUUAGCCCACAAAAAUGAAUUAAAUGCCUACUAAGUAUCAGACACUGUCCUAAAAACUGCUGAUGUUUAUUUUAGAUUGUAAUAGAUGGGUAUUUGUAAGGAGAAAUUCACUCACAUUCCUACCUCUUCACUUCCAUUGAAAAGAUAUUUGUCUUAUUCAUUGCUUUGCAGCUUGAGUUCCUAUGACCAGUGACAUAUGAGCAGAAAUCAUGCACAUUUUCUAAGAUUUAAAAAGCCUCCACCAAUCAGGCACAGUGGUAGAUGCCUAUAAUCCCAGCACUGAGGUGGUGUGAAGCAGGAGGGCCACAAGUUCAAGGCUAGUGAG
ensembl:lncRNA